CCUACGGGAGGCAGCAGUGGGGAAUAUUGGGCAAUGGGCGCAAGCCUGACCCAGCAACGCCGCGUGAAGGAAGAAGGCUUUCGGGUUGUAAACUUCUUUUCUCAGGGACGAAGCAAGUGACGGUACCUGAGGAAUCAGCCACGGCUAACUACGUGCCAGCAGCCGAGGUAAUACGUAGGUGGCAAGCGUUAUCCGGAUUUACUGGGUGUAAAGGGCGUGUAGGCGGGAAAGCAAGUCAGAUGUGAAAACCAUGGGCUCAACCUGGGGCCUGCAUUUGAAACUGGUAUUCUUGAGUACUGGGGAGGCAGACGGAAUUCCUAGUGUAGCGGUGAAAUGCGUAGAUAUUAGGAGGAACACCAGUGGCGAAGGCGGUCUGCUGGACAGCAACUGACGCUGAGGCGCGAAAGCGUGGGGAGCAAACAGGAUUAGAUACCCUAGUAGUC
rnacentral:rRNA from 1 species